rnacentral:rRNA from 1 species
AUACGGAGGGUGCAAGCGUUACUCGGAAUCACUGGGCGUAAAGCGCGCGCAGGCGGGCUGAUAAGUUGGAUGUGAAAGCCUACGGCUCAACCGUAGAACUGCAUCCAAAACUGUCAGCCUAGAGUCUGGGAGGGGAAGAUGGAAUUAGUUGUGUAGGGGUAAAAUCCGUAGAGAUAACUAGGAAUACCAAAAGCGAAGGCGAUCUUCUGGAACAGUACUGACGCUGAGGCGCGAAAGCGUGGGGAGUAAACAGGAUUAGAAACCCUAGUAGUCC